AUGUUCAAAGAACAUUUUAGGAAGAACACAUUCCGUGAAAGAUAUCCUCCUUUACACAGGACAGCUGUAUAUCCUGAUGAAGAAGAAUUCUCCAAACACUGUGGAUUAUCUAUCCCUUCAACUCCUCCAGGAAAAGAAGCAAGAAGUUCAAACACUUCUGAAAGUGAAGCAAGUGAAAAGGAAUCUGUAAAAAUUAGUGCAAAAAAGCCAGGAAGAAAAUGAAAGCCCAUAGUGAUGAGUUUGAAGGUGCUGAAGAAAGUGAUAUAAGAAGAAAAGUUAAAUCAGCAGAGAAAAUAGUUACACAACAACAUGAAUGUAUUCCAACUGCAGCAUCUUCAGAACUUUCAGAGAAACCAGCUGAAUUGGUCACUCCUAAAAAGAUAGGAGCACUUAGUGCCCAGUCCUUUGUCGGAAAACAAACCCUGGCAACAGAAAGUCGACCAAAAACUCAGGAAAGAGGGAAGAUGUCUUGUGGCAAAAGGGAGAAAUCAAUAAGUGAAGCUAGAGAUUCAGAUACUUUCAACAUUGUACAUAGUUGGUGUCUAGAAGGAAAGAAAACCAGUGACAUCAUGGAGCUGGAUAUUGUUUUGCCUGCAUUCAAGAAAAUCCUCCUAGAGUAUAAACAAAGAAUGGAAUCCAAAAUUUGUAUGGAAACCAUCAACAAAUUUCAUUUUAAUAUUAAAGAAGAACAAAUAAAAAUACCUGAAGAUACCCAGAUGUUGAAAAAACUGAAAAGGAAAGAUGCUAAAGUUAGAGCUACAGCUGAAACAACUACAAACAUAGGAUGAACUUAAGGAGAGAAAUUCUUCCCUUAGGAAUGCAACAUAUUCCUCAUCUAGUUUCAAACAGCUUUAUUAAGAUUAUUCAGAUGUUCAAGAGAAAGAUCAAACGUAAAGGAAACAUGAUUUAUCCAGCCUUACAGCUCUGUUAUUUAACACAAGAACCGUUUGGGGAGCUGAAAACCAUCUGCAAAAUAUCAACCAUCAGUUAGAGAAGCUCCUUGACCAGGAAUGAGAAAACCAGUCUACCAAAAUGUGCCUAUAUAAAGAUUAGUCUCAUGCUAUUGUCUGUUUCCUUCUGAAACUGUACCUU